CCAGGACAAAGUAGAUUCAUCUGUUCAUUGCGAGUCUGGCCACAGGACAGAGCACUGCAUAUUGUUUUGUGAGAGAAUUUAUCAGCGACGUUUGUCCUUAACGAGACUUAAUUAAGGAGCCUUUCGAUGGAUAUAUCACCAUUCUUCAAAGACCACAUGGAGUCGUUAUCCGGCAAGCAAACAAACAGCCUUUUUCAAGGCUUCCAGCCUAUUUUGGCGCUUCACGUCUCGGGACUCCUCCCAACGGAUACAAGGUGAACAUGGCACUUUCUCGUGCCCGGGAUGAAGUGCACUACCUGAAAAGGAAGGUGAGCGAACUCACUGCUCACACUGAAACUGGGAGGUGCAGUUUGACCAACCUGUUAAAAGGCAAAGAUCUUGCCUAUGAGCAGACAAGAACAGAAAUAAGUUUUCAGACCUCAUCAGGGAGAACAAGGGUUUUCUCUGAAGCUCCACAGAGACCACCGAACAACUCGUUGUCAAAAAUGCUGAACCCACGGUCCAGGAGCAGGCCAACAACCAACGGUUGAAAGCAGAACACAAACUGCUGAAGAGCAAGACAGAGGCUCUGGCUGAGGUUAUCGGGGAAAACUAGAGUUUGCUUCUGAAGCUCUUUGAGUACGGCCGACAACUCUUCGUCAAAAGUGCUGAACUCACGGUCAACAAAGAGACCUGGCAGCAGAAGUUGGAGGAAAACAGAUUCAAGGAACUGGAUUACCAACAACAGUCCUUGGAGUAAGUAACAGGGUUACUCUCCACCAACAUUUCUCUUCAAGAAGAGCUGCACAAGGAGCAGGCCAACAACCACCAGUUGGUAGAAGAACACAAACUGCUAAAGAUCAAGACAGAGGCUCUGGAUGAGACUAUCAGGGAGAACGAGGGUUUAUCUCUGAAGCUCACCGAGACCAAAAAAAAACUUUCUGUCAUAAGUGCUGAUCUCAGGGUCAACAACGAGACCUGGCAGCAGUUGGAAGCAGAAAACAAACUGCUGAAGACCCAGAGGGAUUCUCUGGCUGCUUUAAAAAAGAGCCACCACCAUGAGGAGACCCACCACGAGAUGGUCACAAGCAGUGGUUUUGUGGUUUCACUGAGUUGUGUCUGAUCUCUAAGAUCCAACAAACGGAGGAUACCAUUCCCAAAGAACAUCAGAUCCUUAUCACCAGGAUCCAAGAAUUAGAGGAGGACAAAACAGUCCUUGAAAACAUCUGCCUCGACUUAAAGAAACGGACCGGCAGACGGAGAUGGACAAAAUGAGGUGCAAGAUGCAGGACAAGGAGACAAAGAAAUAGGAGAGAGAAAAGAAGAAAAAGGAGACCAUCCAGGACGUCAAGAUCAACGUGCCUGAGACUGGACACAAUUUUUCUGGACUGACGUUUAAAGAGGAACUGGUGUUCAACAAUUUGCUGAGGUGCUUUACAUAUUGUAGAACAUGUAGUUUUGUUGUCGGGUGGAGCAUGCUGUUGGGGUCUGUGCAGGAGUUGUGAACUAGAGCAGCGUAGUCCUGGUCCACAAGCUUCAGCAUGUCCUUCUGCUCACGGUGUUUGUUGAGCAGCAGGUCGAUAACUGCCAGCGACGGCGGACGUAGAGUUUCUACAGGAACAAAAGACAGAGUAUUAUAAGUCAUUCUGACCUAUAGAAUCAAAUACUUGUAUAAUAAAUAUAAACUUUCAUUAAAAGCUCAUGAAAGACUGGUGGAUUCGGGGCCUGGGUGUGAUCUGUCUUGCUGUUGUGCUUGUCCCAGUCCAGAGGAACUGAGCAAAGGAACUGUACUGGGCGGGAUGCCACCGACACACACUCACGGAGGAACCGCCUCAUGCAGUGAAACAAGUCCAGCUUGAUAUUAAUGUUUGCAUUAAAAUGUGAUGGUUGCCAGACGUGACAUUGGCAAUCUGUUGUUCUCCAAGAAUCCCAUUUCAGAUGUUCUCCUGCAGACGACUCUGCCACCUUAAGUGCAACACAGCAAUCCCUGAAAGAAAAAAGAAAAGGAAAGCCAUCAAUGUGACAGCAGUCAUAUAGACCACCAUGUGUGCUCCAGUGGAUAUGGUCAUCAAAAUAAAAUUGAAUGCAAAGGGCUUUUCUUUAAUGAAACUGAAAACAAUGAAAAGUAAUCUAAGUUGUGACUAUGAGCUGUUUGUGUCACCAAUGAUGGUCAAAAAUAUUGAUAUAAUUUACCUGUCUACCCACUGUUAUUGUGCCUUUUCUAUGCCUGCAGCGCUGCAGCGCUGUGCCAGUCCCCAGUACAUGGGCUUCAGGGACUUAAAUUAACUUUAAGUUAAAUUAACUUUUUUUAAAGUAAGAUUAAAACUAGUCGUGAUGCCAAAUAUUUCAUAUAGUAUCCUAAUCAUUGAGGCAUUAAUGUGUUUACAUUUGACUGACUUUAAACAAUUCUGGUGGUU
ensembl:lncRNA